rnacentral:rRNA from 1 species
UACGUAGGGGGCAAGCGUUGUCCGGAUUUAUUGGGCGUAAAGCGCUCGCAGGUGGUCCGUCGCGUCGUGCGUGAAAGACCCCGGCUCAACUGGGGGAGGGUCGUGCGAUACGGGCGGACUGGAGGCCAGUAGGGGGAUGCGGAAUUCCGGGUGUAGUGGUGGAAUGCGUAGAGAUCCGGAGGAACACCAGCGGCGAAGGCGGCAUCCUGGACUGGUCCUGACACUCAGGAGCGAAAGCGUGGGGAGGCGAGUCCGG